CCUACGGGCGGCAGCAGUGGGGAAUAUUGGACAAUGGGGGGAACCCUGAUCCAGCCAUGCCGCGUGUGUGAAGAAGGCCCUCGGGUUGUAAAGCACUUUCAGUGAGGAAGAACGCCUGGUGGUUAAUACCCAUCAGGAAAGACAUCACUCACAGAAGAAGCACCGGCUAACUCCGUGCCAGCAGCCGCGGCAAUACGGAGGGUGCGAGCGUUAAUCGGAAUUACUGGGCGUAAAGCGCGCGUAGGUGGCUUGAUAAGCCGGUUGUGAAAGCCCCGGGCUCAACCUGGGAACGGCAUCCGGAACUGUCAAGCUAGAGUGCAGGAGAGGAAGGUAGAAGUCCCGGUGUAGCGGUGAAAUGCGUAGAGAUCGGGAGGAAUACCAGUGGCGAAGGCGGCCUUCUGGACUGACACUGACACUGAGGUGUGAAAGCGUGGAUAGCAAACAGGAUUAGAUACCCCAGUAGUC
rnacentral:rRNA from 1 species